AACGAACGCUGGCGGCAUGCCUAACACAUGCAAGUCGAACGAGACCUUCGGGUCUAGUGGCGCACGGGUGCGUAACGCGUGGGAACCUGCCUUUAGGUUCGGAAUAACUCAGAGAAAUUUGAGCUAAUACCGGAUGAUGUCUUCGGACCAAAGAUUUAUCGCCUUUAGAUGGGCGCGCGUUGGAUUAGCUAGUUGGUGGGGUAAAGGCCUACCAAGGCGACGAUCCAUAGCUGGUCUGAGAGGAUGAUCAGCCACACUGGGACUGAGACACGGCCCAGACUCCUGCGGGAUGCAGCAGUGGGGAAUAUUGGACAGUGGGCGAAAGCAUGAUCCAGCACUGCCGCGUGAGUGCUGAAGGCCUUAGGGUUGUACAGCUCGUUUACCCGAGAUGAUAAUGACAGUAUCGGGAGAAUAAGCACCGGCUAACUCCGUG
rnacentral:rRNA from 1 species